rnacentral:rRNA from 1 species
AGAGUUUGAUUCUGGCUCAGAUUGAACGCUGGCGGAAUGCUUUACACAUGCAAGUCGAACGGCAGCACGGGUGCUUGCACCUGGUGGCGAGUGGCGAACGGGUGAGUAAUGCGUCGGAACGUACCGAGUAAUGGGGGAUAACGCGGCGAAAGUCGCGCUAAUACCGCAUACGCCCUGAGGGGGAAAGUGGGGGAUCGCAAGACCUCACGUUAUUCGAGCGGCCGACGUCUGAUUAGCUAGUUGGUGGGGUAAAGGCCUACCAAGGCGACGAUCAGUAGCGGGUCUGAGAGGAUGAUCCGUCACACUGGGACUGAGACACGGCCCAGACUCCUACGGGAGGCAGCAGUGGGGAAUUUUGGACAAUGGGGGCAACCCUGAUCCAGCCAUUCCGCGUGAGUGAAGAAGGCCUUCGGGUUGUAAAGCUCUUUCAGCUGGAACGAAACGGUACGCUCUAACAUAGCGUGCUAAUGACGGUACCGGCAGAAGAAGCACCGGCUAACUACGUGCCAGCAGCCGCGGUAAUACGUAGGGUGCGAGCGUUAAUCGGAAUUACUGGGCGUAAAGCGUGCGCAGGCGGAUUGUUAAGCAAGAUGUGAAAUCCCCGGGCUUAACCUGGGAAUGGCAUUUUGAACUGGCCGUCUAUUUUAC